rnacentral:misc_RNA from 1 species
CUCUUUAAAAACUCAAACCUCUAUUUAAGAAGAAAACAAUGAUCCUCUUUGGAUACUGGCUCUCCAUAUAAAACUCACGCUAUCUGCUCUCUCUGGAUGAGGAGAUGAGCACCUGUUCUCACAAAAAAAAAAAAAAAAAAAAAAAAAAAAAAAACGCCCUAUUUUAGUUUCAGACCCAUUUCAGCUUCAGGUUGAAACCAACGGCUCACCUAUUCUUCUUCACCAAUACCAGUGUCUAUUCUGCUCCAGAUCAGCGCCUUCAAAAGCCACCCAUUCUAUUUGUUUCUGUCUCAACCCCA